CCUACGGGAGGCAGCAGUGAGGAAUAUUGGUCAAUGGGCGCGAGCCUGAACCAGCCAAGUAGCGUGAAGGAUGACUGCCCUACGGGUUGUAAACCUCUUUUAUAAAGGAAUAAAGUGAGGCAUGUGUGCCUUUUUGUAUGUACUUUAUGAUUAAGGCUCGGCAAACUCGGUGCCAGCAGCCGCGGUAAUACGGAGGAUGCGUUCGUUAUCCGGAUUUAUUGGGGUUAAAGGGUGCGAAGGCGGUUUUUUAAGUUAGUGGUUAAACGUCGGGGCUUCACCUUGAUUUGCAAUUAAUACUGUAAGACUCGAGUUCAGAAGAGGUAGGCGGAAUACGUUGAGUAGCGGUGAAAUGCGUAGAGAUAACGUAGAACUCCGAUAGCGAAGGCAGCUUACCAGACUGCGACUGACGCUGAUGCACGAGAGCGUGGGGAGCGAACAGGAUUAGAUACCCGAGUAGUC
rnacentral:rRNA from 1 species